ACGGGAGGCAGCAGUGAGGAAUAUUGGUCAAUGGGCGGAAGCCUGAACCAGCCAAGUCGCGUGAAGGAUGAAGGUAUUAUGUAUUGUAAACUUCUUUAGUCGCAGAGAAAUAAGGAUCUCGUGAGGUCUGAUGCUAGUAUGCGAAGAAUAAGGAUCGGCUAACUCCGUGCCAGCAGCCGCGGUAAUACGGAGGAUCCGAGCGUUAUCCGGAUUUAUUGGGUUUAAAGGGUGCGCAGGCGGUCUUUUAAGUCAGUGGUCAAAGCGCGGAGCUCAACUCCGUCCCGCCAUUGAUACUGGGAGACUUGAUUGCGGUCGAGGUUGGCGGAAUUCGUCGUGUAGCGGUGAAAUGCAUAGAUAUGACGAAGAACACCGAUUGCGUAGGCGGCUGACCAGGCCGUAAAUGACGCUCAUGCACGAAAGUGCGGGGAUCGAACAGGAUUAGAUACCCUGGUA
rnacentral:rRNA from 1 species